rnacentral:rRNA from 1 species
UACAGAGGUCUCAAGCGUUGUUCGGAUUCAUUGGGCGUAAAGGGUGCGUAGGUGGCGCUGUAAGUCAGGUGUGAAAUUUCGGAGCUUAACUCCGAAACUGCAUUUGAUACUGCGGUGCUCGAGGACUGGAGAGGAGACUGGAAUUUACGGUGUAGCAGUGAAAUGCGUAGAGAUCGUAAGGAAGACCAGUGGCGAAGGCGGGUCUCUGGGCCAUAACUGACGCUGGAGGAGCGAAAGCGUGGGGAGCGAACAGGA